rnacentral:tRNA from 1 species
NNNAAUUUAGGUUAAAACAGACCAAGAGCCUUCAAAGCCCUAAGUAAGUGCAUUAUACUUAACUCCUG